rnacentral:lncRNA from 1 species
GCGCCGCCAGAACCACCCGUGACCGCCAAGCUGCAUGCAACUGCUUGAAACAAGCUUACGGAACAAUCCGCGGCAUCAACCCUAAUGUUGCCGCUGGCCUUCCUCGUCAAUGUGGAGUCAACAUUCCUUACAAGAUCAGCCCCGCCACUGACUGCUCUAGGUAUGUUAAUCAAUUACUCCACCCUCUUUAAUUCUUUUUGUUUUUAUUUAUUUUUUCAAUUUUCUGAUUGUUAAUUAUGUAAUUCUUAAUUAGAAUUUUGUUUUUCAUGUUUCUGUGAUGCAGGGUCAGGUGAAGUUGAGUUUGAGCUCUGUGACUUUCCAAGUAUGAUUGACUGAGAAGAAUAAAUAAAUAAAGAAUAUCUAUGUUAAUUUCUUUGUCCGAACGAGUCUCCACUUGUGUGAGUCUCACUCUCAUGUCAUGUUUGUAUCUUUGCUUUUAAUAUCAUAUUAAAUAUGUAAACGUGAUCUGUGUUUUGAGUGAUUAAUUCUAGUUAUUUUGUGGUAUUAUCUUAAAAAUUCUCCCUUAUUUUAUGUCCCUCUCUAUCAUUUUGAAUCAUGAGAGAAUCUCAAACCAUUGUUUGUUAUGUUCUAAAGUCAUGGAGACAGUGCCACCAAUUCCUCAUCAUACUACAAAGACAAUUCCAAUUCCAAAUCUAAUUAUUACAAAGACAGUUCCCAAUCCUCUAAUUCAAGCUAACACAAUAUCUAUAUAGACAAGAAAUAGAAAUUGACAAAAGGGUUCUAACAGUUUUUAAUCCUAAGUAUUGACCGAGAAAUAAAUAAAUAAAUAAAUAAAUAUGUUAAUUUCUUUGUCCGAAUGAAUCUCUACUUGUGCGAGUCUCACUCUCAUGUCAUGCUGUAUCUUUGCUUUUUAUGUCAUAUUAAAUAUGUAAUCGUGAUCUGUGUUUUGAGUAAUGAAUUAUAAUUAUUUUGUGGUAUUAUAUUAUAAAUUCUCUCUUAUUUUAUGUUGACGACAUCUCUAUAUCAUUUUACAUCAUCAGAGAAUCUCGAUUCAAUAAGCAUUAUGUUCUAAAGUCAUGGAGAGUGUACCGUAAUUCCUAAUCAUACUGCAAAAACAAUUCCUAUUCCAAAUCUAAUUAUUAUAAAGAAAAUUCCUAAUUACCAGCAAGCGCGUACAUCAGCUGUUAUGAGACUGUUCUAACUUAACCAAAAUCAUCGAUUCAAGGUUUAAGAAUGCAGCUGCGUUAAAUACUUGUUGGGAGAGCUUUGCCGCCCUAGUAGUCCUACCCGACUUGAAUCUAGAUUAGUUGAGACCUAAUGUGAUUUUCGGAUACCAGAUGAUUUAAUAUACAAAAAAAAAAAGACAAUUCCCAAUCCUCUAAUUCAAGCUAACACAAUAUCUAAUUCCUAUAUAUAUAUAGACAAAAAAUAGGAAUUAACAAAAUGGUUCUAACAGUUUUUAAUCCUACAGUAUUGAUCGGUAAAAUGUACUUUUAUCAAAAUACUAAUUAGCUGAAGAAUUGUUGUUAGUCGAGGUUAGAUUAUCUCAUUGACAAAUGUAAUAUUACACAAUUAAUAAUAAAAAAAGUGAAAAUAAAAACCUUCAAAGUAGUUUGAGACACUAUAAUUAAUUCAUAACAAACCAAUUGGUAUAGGUGCGUGUGAUUGCAUUCGCCGGUAGGGUGGAGCCGUGGAGGGCCCUUAGGAUGGACUUUGAUCUCUAUUUUGUAAUGGGGAAAAUCGAAAAAAAAAAAAAUCAUGAAGUUGCAAUCUAAAAUUAUACUCAAGCCCCCCAAUAAUUUUCAUUUACUCCCCAGUAAAUCACACUCAAGUCCCAAUUCCAAUUGCUUAUGGUUAUAUAAUUAUAAUUAAAAGAAGCGAGCCCUUAAAUAUUAAAGUAGAUUUUGAUUUUUUUAAAUGAUCCACAAAUCUGUGAUACAACAGAGCAUCGCUUUAACAAUAGCUUUUAGCUAAUUAAUUUUUCAUUUUUUUCAUUUUCGACAGUUUCGACUUUCGAGCCUGUCGGCAGGAUUGUGAUUAAGGCCCAGCCCGGCCUUCGAACAAAAAGUACAGAGCCCGGCCCGGAGCUUGGACAUCAAAAUAAAAAAUUUAGUAUUUUCUUUGUGGUACAUACUUUAGUUAGUUACUAUAUACACCGGCCCAAAAAUUUGAUUAUUCCUUUAAACCUAGCCCAACUGCUCAUUCAUUGUGAAAUUAUAUGCACUUGUACUAUUAGGAGCCCAUUAACAAAAUUAUUUGUUACUAGUUGGUACCUUAAGUUAAUUUCUAUAAAUUAUUUAUUUCUAAUUUUUCUCCUUAAGUGUCAUAAUUUCUAUCUAGAAAAGCUUAAAUCAGUAACACUAAGACAUGUUAUAAAGUGACCAAAAAAAAACAUUAAUUUUAAUAGCAUAGACAUGCGGCCCUGGGCCUGCCCGCGAGCCCAAUCGCUGGGUGUGCAAAAGGAACGCCCGACCCGAACUUGUACUAUCCCUAAAUUAAAUCACAAGCGACAAACUACUACAUUUUCUAUUUUCUUUUGCUUGUAUUUUGUUCACGACCCGAUCUUGUACUAUCCCUAAAUUAAAUCACAAGUGACAAACUACUACAUUUUCGAUUCUCUUUUUACUUGUAUUUAGUUCACUAAUAUUUGCCACUCGGCCAAAUAAGUGAGGGCAGCUGUUUGACCCCAUAAACACAUUAUUGGAGAUUUAUUCCUUCCUCUGUUAUUAAUAAUUGAGUGGAGUGAAUAUUUUUUAAAUAUUAGUGAUGAUAAAAUUAUAGACGGUGUUUUAUAAGAAUUGAUAUAAAUUAAUUUCAAUAAUAAUUUAAUUUAUAAAUAUCAAUUGUAGUCUCAUAUAAUAUGAGUUGUAAUAUUGAAAAAUAAUCUCAUAUAAUAAAAAAUAUUUACUAAUAUUUAGUUUUACAUAUAUGUAAUUAUGUAUAUACAGAUUUAAUGUGUGAAAAUUUAUUUGAUUGUACCGAUGCAAUUAAUAAUAUUUCAUUUCAUUUCAAUAUAGUAACCUACACAAAUACUGGGAUGGUUGAGAUUAGAAGGCAAUUUUUCGGAGAAAUGUUUAAUUUAAAUGUGUAUAUUUAAUGUUUUUCAAGCAAUUUAUUUUAUUUUAAUAAAAGGGGGCAAUCAAAAAGCCAUCCAUAUCAAUGUUCUUCGGCCUCAGCCUCGGCCAGUUAGGCACCAAAUGUUGACAGAGUCCCAUUCUGUUCCCAUGCUCAGGCACAGCGAAUUAUUACAAUUAAUUUGACGAGACUUUUACGUACGAGAUCUGACAACUCCAUCAGACUGCUGCCAAGUGUCCACAUGCUUGCACCUGUUAAAAUCUCUCAUCUCCGUCGGUGGCUGCCUCGGAUUCUGUGCUUCUUCUCUCCAAACUUCAGAGACGUGCUUAUUCAAGGCAAAUGCUAUGUUACAAUUAAUGUAACAUACACACUCAACAACAACCACAUAAAUUAUGUGGGUUUAUCAUUUGUGUGGUUGUUGUUGAGUGUGUAUGUUACAUUAAUUGUAACAUAGGGACUCCCGCUUAUUCAAAACAUUGAACCGAAAGUUAAUUAAAGUUACAGCAUGUGCGGUAAGAAAUGAACAUGGUUGUUGUUUUUUUAUUAUUAAAUAAAUAAUUUGUGAGAGAUCCAUUUUUUUGGGGUUAAUAUAUAAUUGUUAAAAAUAAAACAUACAAUUAAAUAAAAAUAAAGGUGCCACAAAACUACGGGCCAUGGAAAUUGCAAUAAAGAAAAUAAUUAAUUUUCCUCUCUCUCCCCUUUUUUUGCCUGAGAGGAAGAGGCAAUUCUUAUUUCUUAAUAUUCUUUUCUGAUUUUUUUCCAACGUAGGAGCAGCAAAAAUUACAAAUUAAUUUUUUAAUUUCUAUCGAAUUAACACAACUAUGCUAUGAUAUUAUAAAGACACGUGUAUGCCCCUCGUAAAAUUUUGUUCAAGUCAUAAAUUUGUGAGGUAGCACAUUUAUGAUCCGGCAAUUACAUGCAGUCUGCCGAAAACUUAGCUGUGCAUGUUCCGUCCCAUCCUUCUACAGUUUCUCCUCGCAAUUUUAAAAGCAAGUCUGCACACGGAAUUAACUCUUGGUUAAAAAUUCAAAAGGAACAUGUAUAGUUACUGUACUAACAAUAAAAUUUUAACAAAUUUCAAUUUUAAUUUUUGAGCUAUUUUCUAGAAUAAAUUCAGCUCGCGAAUUAUUUUACAUGAUAUUCGAGUUAAACUCACUAUUCUUUUUACCUAGCAAGAACCAGACUAAAGAAAUAUUCAACAUUAGUUGAGAUAAAUUAUCAAGCUAAAAAUAUAAAUUUGAAACUCUCAGCUAAUUAGUUUAAUUAUGAGUUGAGCUCAUGAGUAUCUACUAAAAUGGCGCUCUCAAAUUAAGCCGAAGAGUUGGAUCAUUUAAUUUUCAUCUAUGUCCUUAUCCAUUACCUAAUCUUUACUCGAUAGUGAGACUCGUGUGGAAUGUUCUAUAUGAAAAUAUGCAAUAAAUAAUCAUAUCAUAUAUUCGAAGUUUAUUUUUCGUUCUUACCUUUGUGAUGGUUAAUUAUUUCUAAAAGAAUGUGUGUGUGUGUGCGCGUGCGUGUGUGAAGAGAUAUUAUUGACUGAAUAUAAAUUUAUCUGUCUCCUUCGAAAAUAUUUCUAACUUUGCAUGCUGCCCCGUGAUUUGAUUGAAUAUUCAUGAAGGACAAAAAAAUUAUCUUAUGUUAAUAUUGUAAUUUCAGUUCUUGAAGGAAGAUAAACUUGUUCAUAAUAUUGCAAACAAAAGACAUUCUUUGCUUUCGCUAUAGUGUAUACGUAAACCAGUCGGCUCCGACUCCCCCCAUCACAUGAUUUUUGGACUAUAUGUUUAUGAAAUCAAACCUGGAUACUAUAUGAAUUUUCAUCUGCCUUCUUUUUAACAUGCAUUUUCUUAGAAAAGAAUAACACAAAUUGUAGGCACAUUCAUGCGUAUCUAAUUCCCAUUUUAAUUAAUGGCUUUCAACGUCCAGGAUGUGACGAUCAAAAAGUCCAAAAAUGUCGUUGAAAAUCGCACCGGUCGAAAAGGAAAGAGAAAGGCAUCAAAUGCAAUAUUGAAUUAUUUCAACAACCAACUAACCAGUACAGUAGUCUCUCUUUAAAGCUUCUAUAUAAACACUAGCCCUUAACACACUUUCACUCACUCAACUCAAGCUUCUGAACACAGCUAGCCAUAAACAAAGGCAAAAAAAAAAAAAAGAAAAAGAAAAUCUCAGGAGAAAUCUCAAAUGGCUGCCCUCAAGCUUGUUUCAGCUUUGGUUCUGUGCAUGUUGGUGACUGGUCCCCUGAGUGCUCAGGCCAUAACAUGUGGGCAGGUGAGUGGCUCAUUGGCACCAUGCAUCGGUUUCUUGAGAUCGGGCGGCCCUAUACCUAUGCCAUGCUGCAACGGCGUCAGGUCUCUCAACGCUGCCGCCAGAACCACACCUGACCGCCAAACUGCAUGCAACUGCUUGAAGCAAGCCGCCAGAUCAAUCCCUAGCCUCAACCUUAAUAAUGCUGCUGGUCUUCCAGGAGCUUGUGGAGUCAGCAUUCCUUACAAGAUCAGCACCUCCACUGACUGCUCUAAGUAUGUCUUCAACUUCAAUUAAAUCUCCACAUCAUUAUUUUUUUUCUUUUUCAAUUUGCAAAUUUUUUUUUUUACUCACUUUUGUUUGAUUGUGUUUCAGGGUCAGGUGAACAGGAAUCUGGGCCGUUGAUUUUCAGGUUUAAGUUGACGGAGUAGAAUAAAUGUAUAAUAAUAAGGACAUUUUUGUGUCCGAUUUAUGAGUCUCUCUCUACACUUUGUACUGCGAGUCUCGUUCGCGCCCUCGUUUCAUGUUGUGUUUUAUUGUCUUUGCUUUUCAUGUCAUCGUCAGUUUGUGUCUAUUCUGUUUAUUAAAUGAAAUCUUGCCUUGUGUUCAGUUUAACGACUUAUCCACAGUUCCAAGUAUCUCAUUCACGUCAACUUUUGAGCUCUUUCUUCCACUGCAAUUCGGAGUGAAUAACAUAUUUUAUGUGGAAUAAACGACAAUAUUAUCGGAUAAUAUUUGACAGAAAAAGGAAUUAAAUAUAAUGGUUUGGUUCAAAAUAUAUUACAACUAGCGUCCAAAUCGAACAAGAAAUUAAUUACUCCUUUGUGACAAGAAACGACAUCUUAGUCAAAUAAAACUUAAGAUCAGUUCAAAUUGUGGGGUCUGGAUCUAUAGUUAUUAAAGAAUGUGGCUUUUAUUUAACUAUUCAACAUUUGCUAGCGAAGCAAUUAGGUAAAGUAAGCCAAGUGACCAAAUUAGGUGUCAUUAAAUAAUUAUUGGUGGAGCAUUUUGGUAAAGGAAAUGGUCAAGUUAAGUAACCAUUUUGGACUGAAAUAAUGUGGCUAUCGUUUGCAAAUUGGCUAUUAAUAGCCUACAGUUCCUUUUUUUAUGUAUCGAAGAAAAAUACUUGUGAGUUUUCUAUGAGCAUUAGUUAAGAGCUUCCGGUAAGCAUUUGUGAGGUUCAAUUCUAAUUAUUUGAGGAAUUCGAAUAAUUUGAGUAUUUUUUCUUUGAUACUUGUGAAUUAAGAGAAAGGGUUUAUUGGAGAUUUGGGAAGUGAGGUUGAGAGAGUUGUGUUCCACCUUCAUCAUAAUAAUGGAAAUUUGAAUUAUAGUAGGUAAUUUGUUGAACCACAUAAAUGUUUUGUGUUCUUUUUUUUCUCCUUUAUUUGUUAUUAUCUCAAAUUGUUGUUUCAUAUAUUUAUGCACAACACUAUAAUACUAAAUUACUAGCAGUUAUAGUUUGAAAGUUAAGUUGAUUUAAUUUUAUACUAAAAAAUGUAUUAUAUUUUUACUAAUUUUAUUAAAAUUAUUAUUUAAAAAUUAUAUUUACUGUAUUUUAUUAAUUUUUAUUUCAUAAUUAUAUAUUUUUUUUCACUUUAAAAGCUACCGUAGCUCGAUAAAAAGAGAUCUUAUUAAUGAAAUUCAGACUGUUCAGAAAUAUAAAUUUGUGAUAUAUGUAAGGCAAGCGAUGGGGUGGUCCAUUGUUUCAUUAAUGAACACCGGCCAUAUCGUUGUGGUAAAAGUUCAUUUAGUCAAUGUAUUUUAAGAUUAGUAUCCAUUUAGUCCCUAUAUUUUAAAAAAUACCUCGAAACAUCCCUGCCGUUAAAGUAUUGAUACACAUACCGUUACUUUUUAUUUCUUUUGGCUUACUUUUACAAUAUUACCCUUUUAUAAUAAUUUCUUUGUUUGGAUAUUAAUAAAAAGAAAAUAAUUAAAUUACCAAUUUAACCCUAAGAAAUAAAAAAUAUAUUAAUUUUUAAUUGUCAAAAUUUGUAUGCAAACUACCAAGUGUACAAAUGAUACUUGUAAAAAAAUUAAUAUAAUUUUUUUUAAUUUUCUAGGGUGAAAUUGGUAAUUUAAUUAUUUUCUUUUUAUUAAUGUCCAAACAAAAAAAUUAUUAUAAAAGGGUAAUAUUGUAAAAGUAAGCUAAAAGAAAUAAAAAAUAACAGUAGGAGUAUCAAUAAUUUAACGGUAGGGAUGUUUCAAGAUAUUUUUAAAAAUAUAAAAAUUAAACGAACACUAAUUUUAAAUUAUAAGGACUAAAUAAGCAACCCCAUCCAUGUUUUAGAACAAUAAUGAAUGUCUCCUUGGAGCUUUGUACGUAUGGUCCCAAUGACUGCGUUGUUGCGUGGCCAGCUUUUUAACGAAGAGGUGGAAGUCACAGACGGUUCUUACAAAAGGGAAUUUAUGACUCAUUUCACUUGCAGUUAAUGCUAUAAAUUGGAAGUUGCUUUCAGGGUCUAGGGAAGAUGAACAGAUAACGGAGAUGGAGAAAUCCUUUUCUUUCUUCUUUUGUCUUUUGAUGACUAAAGGUUCUAUUAUUUCCAUAAAUAUAGAUUAGGAUGGUUUAAAAAUUAUCCAACUAUAAUGGUAAAGCUAUAACAUAUUAACAUCACAUAGUGUAUUAGUGUAAUGUUAUUAUAUUAUUACACCAUUAUACUAUACAAUAAUAAUUUUUUUAUAUUUUAAUAAAAUUUAAAAUUUUAGGCCAAAUCAAUAUUCCAGGAUGAUUAAUAUGUUUUCUUUCCAUGUAUAAAUUAUGAACCAAUUUUUAAAUAAGUAAAAUAUAACCCUUGAAUUAACAAUUAAGAUACUCCACUCCAACAGUCCAUAUGUUAAUUAGAUCACAAAUCAAAGUAAUUUUGUAAAAAGAGUCUCUAUUCUCCAUAAUCUUUUAACUCUAUAUAAUGAUUCGUUUUGAAAUGGUGGCUGAGUAACUAGAUAUAAGCUUGAGAGAAGUACAUCUAAACAUGCUUGAUUCCACCUUCAACGAAUUAUAUUUAUUAAUAUGCUAAAUUUAAUUUCGAGUUUUCUAGAGCUUGCUCAAUUAUUUAUUUUCAAAAUAGUUCUGAAAAUUAAAUAGCUAGGUUGUAACUUUUAGCUUAGUCAAUACUUAAUUUGGUGUGUCUAAUUUGAUGUGUCUAGGGAUAUCAUUAUCGUUGACAUAAACUCUUUUCAGAAUUACAACAUAUGUAACUUAUAUCAUAUAGGGGUGGCUUUAAGUAUAGGCAAAAAAUGCGGUUGUCUAAAGCCCUAUAUUUUUAUUUUUCUGGUGUUUUCUUAAUAAUUCUCUAAUUAAUAAAUAUUUUUUUUAAUUACUUUUUGUAGGACAACCUAUUAAACAUCUCUCUAAUUAAUAAUUAUGCUACGAUUAAGAAUUAUUUUUAUAAAAAAUCUAUAUUUGGUAACUUUAGUGUUAAUUGAUAUAAUUAUUAAUAUUAUCUUACCAUUAUUUCAUUCAUUAUUAGUCUUUCCAAACAAAAAAUUUACCUUUUCAAUUUCCUAAUAAAACUUAAUUAUUUAAUUUUAGAAUCUUUCACUUUUAGUAUUCCUUUUAAUUUGUAUGAAAAAUCUUAUAAUCUCAAAACUCAAAAGGUAAAAAAAAAUUCUUGCGCUCCUCUCCACAAAAAAAAAUUACUAUAAUCAUUGAUUCAUUCUAAGAAGAAAAAAAUAGUUUCUUGAAAUACAAAGUUCGUAACUAUUUCAAUUCAUCAUUUCAUCAUUUCAACUUUGCAUGUGCUACUAUUCUAAAUAUUUUAUUUAAAAAUAAUAUUGUUCUUAUUUAUUUAUUUGCUUCUGUAACAGUUCUAAUGGAAGUAAAAAAGAAUAUCUUCUUGACUAUUUUUUUUUUAGCUUUUGUCUUUGAAAUUUUUAGGAUCUUUAUUAUUAUUAUUAUUAAAAUUCAUGAACUAAAAAUAGAAUCAAUUUUUGAGCUCUUUUAUGUUAUUAUAUUUUUUAAUACUGAAAUCGUAGAAUAAAAGAAGGCCCAUAAAGAAAAAUUCGCUAAGACCUCAAAUUCCCUAAAACUGACCCUAAUAUUAACUCAUAAAUAACUUUUUAUAUGAUUGAAUUGUUAUCAUUCAAACAAAUAAAAGGUCAUAAGAAACUAUUUAUGGAUUGAUGUAAGUUACAUCUGUUAUAACCUCCUCUUUUUUUUGUUAAGAAAAUAUAAAAAAGACAAAAUAAUAAAAUGAUUCUUCUUAAAUUAAGAUCUUUGUCCACCUAUGUUAAAAAAAAAAAAAAAAAGAUCUUUGUCCAUCUCCUUAUCCCAAAAAAAAAAAAAAAAAAAACUUUGUCGGUCUCUCUGUUCUAGCUUUUUUUUAGUUGUACGAUUGGAACAUUCCAUUUCCAGAUAUUAACUUUUAAAUUGACAUAUUUUAUUUUUCUUUUGAAAAAAUUAUUGAAAUUUGUAAAAGAUUUCCAACAAACCUUUCGUUUCGGGAAACAUCGAGCUCUCCAACCUAACCUAACCUAACCUAAGCUUAUUCACUGUAGAGCACGUGGCGGCCUACUGAUUGCUAAUAAAUAAGUCGGCAAGCAAACUAUAUUUUGCGGUGCAGGGUACAUAGCCUUGGCCAGUGCUGUUUAAUUUUUUGUUUUGUCGGCCAAUCCUUUCUGAAUUCGAAUUUUAAAAGAGUUAAAUAAGUUUUUAAAAUCAUUUUUUAUUUUUAAAUUUUACUCACCUUUUGUCUUUAAAAUAAAAAAGAAAAAAAAAAUUGACUUACAUGAAUGUUUAUGUCCUUUUAAGUAAUUCUCUCACCGGUAAAAGACUAGAGCCCCUGAUGGGCCAUUGCUUGCUUGUAGCCCAGGCCCAUUGUGCUCCAGGAUUUGUACUUUGAUUUUGUAUAAAUAUAUUUUAGCACCCUCUCCCCUUCAGCUUUCUCUUUCUUUAAACCCAAUUUAAUUUGAAGCGUGGCCUGAUGCCCUAAUUUAAUCCUCAAAUUACUGUUAAACUCAUUUACUUACUAAAUCUAUGAACUAAAAUUUUUAAAGUUUAAAUUUUACAAUAUAGCUCUACCUAAAUGUAAAUAUAACCUUAGUGAAUUAAAUUAUCAUGAUAACUAUGUUUUUAUAAACCCAUCAAAAUAGUGUACAUAAACAUCAAUAAGAUGUUUAAUUAUAUUUAACAAAAUAUGUAUAAAUAAUCUGUAGGGAUUAUAAUGGAAAUAAAUGUAAUUUGCUCAAUAGUGUCAAUUUGAAAAGAAAUAUUUGUACAAUUAUUCUUUUUAUACAUUAAUUAUUUGUAAUAGAAUUUUUUUAAUCGAGCAACAUUCAAAAAAAUAAAAAAAAAAUUAAUAAAAAUUGAAUGUGUUAUUAAUUUUUUUUAUUCAUUCUUUUAAUGGAAACUAGUAUAAAUCAUAUAUCAAAAAUAUUAAAAGAUUAUAAGUAAAGUGGUAUGAAAAAUCUUCCAUCCAUACACCAAAAUAAGUUAAAGAUUAUCAUUCGUGCAUGUCAAGAUUGCAAACUUUAUGAACAUACAUUCAUUUUCUGUUUUACAAGUCAUUGAACCCGAAACAAAUUGGAGUGUAAUGUAAAUGAUUCAAUUUAAAAAUACCAACUAGUUAAGGUGGUAAGAUCUUUUGUAUGAAAAAUAAAAUGUUUGAAAUUUGAAUUCCGUUUAUAGAAGUAGGGAGAAAAAUGGAUUACCGACAGGGUAGACAUAAAAAAAGAAGUUACUUUAAAAUUUUUAGAGCUUUCUUCAAUAAGAAAUGUUUGUAAGACGAUUAUGAAUAUAAUGCAUGAGAAACAUUCAAAAUGUGACAUUUUAUAAGGUCUUCCAAGUAAAUUCAUUAUUGAUAACAACUGGACCUUUCCAAAGCAAUUUCUAGAUGCACCUCACUAAAUUAACUUCAAUUUAACAAGAGUGGCGCUAUUGGCACCCCUGUAUUUUUCUUAUAAAACCCCUCUUGUUAUUCAUUUAUAAUUUUAUCCCUUAUAUCUUGAAUCCAUAUAUGAUUUUUCUCAUUAACUCUUUCUCCACUAAAGCUCUUAAAAGUUACAAUUUUGGUUUUUUUUUUUAAAAAAGGUCAAUUGUAAAAGAGCAAGAAUUUGAUAUAAAGUAUUUUUUUUUCACUUAACAAUUAUUUUUGUAGGAAAGAUAAUUUUAUAAAAUUUUCAUAAAUUACUAAUGUUAUUAGAAUGCUAGGAGAUAACUAAACCUUGUGUGUAUUUUAUACAUAUUUAUUUUGAAAUAGAAUGUCAUAAACUGAAAGGUAUAAAACUAAAAUAAAUAGAAAUCUCAAAAUAAAUUAAGCGCAUGGGAUAACAAAUAUUGGGUUGUUAUUAACAACCUUUCCUAUAAAAAGAAGAAACUUGAAGUGGGAGUGGUCGAAGAGUGAUAACUGAAAGGACGUUGAAAUUGUUUGCGGAAAAAUGACGGAUAAAGGCUAUUUUAGGAAUUGAGGGGGAAAUAAACAGAAAUGGGUUUGAAAAGGAUAUCAAAGGGGUGCCGAUAGCUCCACUCUUUUAACAAUCCCAACUGCCAAUGCCCAGCCCAUUAAUUCUGCACAUGGUCUCUUAAGACAUUUGGACCCGGAUGCUGACACGCGCAUGUUUGGUCCGUUGAUUUGCAUGACCGCUUGUGGUUUGGACGUACCGGAUCGCACCAUGUAUCACUCUUUCUUGUUUGCGCAUUGACGUCGCAUCUAGAGCUUAGAUUGGCCUUACAUUGACCACGAAUGGAUGGCCCUGAUGGUGCCUCCUUGACGUGAUUAUGAACCUCUGAUUGAUACUCAAUAAACGGCUCAGACCUCACUUGUUCGGCUAUUUAAAUCAAACAUUUCAUUGCCCUUAUUUGUCAGGCAAUUUUAAACGGGAAAAAUAGACCGGGCCUAAUUUUUUAGGGGGAAAAUGACAAAGAGCACCGAGGGCACAUUCAAGGAUGGCAGUAGGGUUGAGGGGCUGGGCCCUCUAAACGUAACAUAGAGCUUGGUCCCUCAAAAGGUUCGACUCUUGGUCUAUGGAGCAGGGCAGAGGCCGAGCCUAGGUUUUAUCUAAGCCCAACCCAGGCUCUACAACAUUGAGCUCGAAUCUUGGCCCUUAAAAUUAGGUCGAAGUUCAGCCAGGCCGAGGUAAAUGUAGUCGGGCAUGACCCUUGGCCCUUAAAACUGAGGUGGUAUGCCAGCCGUACUAUCAACUUUGUAGAUAUCACGCUUAAUCAAAAAGCAAGUGGCCGAUGCUUCAGUGAAACGUGUGUAACUCGAAAAUUGUAAGUAUCUAAGGGCCUGUUUGGUAUUGUUUUUGAAUCUGUAUUUUCUGAGAAUAAAAAUAAAAAUAAAAAUGGUGUUUUACAGUUUCUGUAUUUCGAAUUUAACUAUGCGUUUGGUAUCAUUUUCUAUAUCCUAUAUUUUAAAAUUGAAAACAGUAAUAUGCGUUUGGUAGACACAAUUAAAAAUGAUAAAAACAGAAAAUAUGCGUUUGGUAAUACUUUUUUCAAAAAUAAUUUUUACUAAAAAAUUUAACUAAUACAUACACAAACAUACCAUGCGCAUUAAGCAACUCUAUCUAAUCAGUAACUUUUUGUUCUUUUUUUAACAAUUGUUAGUUUGCCCAAAAAUUGUUAAUUUUAAAAUUUUUAAAAAUUGAUAUAAAAUGUUAAUUGGUAUCAAUAUUAUUAUUAGGUAUAAAUUUAUUAUUAAUAUAAUGUUAAUUAUAUGAUUUAUAUAUGUGUCAUCAUUAUAAUGUACUGCCAACAAAUAAUAAGAAAUGUAAUGGUCAAUCUCAAUCCAUGUGAAAAUGACGGAUGAAUCCAUAAUUUUUUUUUUUUGUUUUGUUCGCCCAAUUAAAUGCAAAAUCGACGGCAUGCUUCGAGCAAUCAUUCAAAACGAAAAAUAGAUUCGAUCGGUUAAGCAGAAAAUGAAAUUAAGCCCUCCCUAAAGCAGAGCAGAGAUGCAGCAGCAACGGCCGCACCACCACCAGUCGGGACGGAGCCGAGACGCAGCAGCAGCACCAAUCAAUCCUCAACAGAGAUGCAGCAGUAUCAGUCGAUCCACCAUGGCCGAAUCAGAGCAGAGACACACCACCACCACCACCACUAGUCGAGAUGGAGCUAAGACGCAGUAGCAGUAGCUGAUUUUGGUUGGAGAACUGUCACGGAGAGAAAGAGAGUUGUGAAUGAGAGAGAUGAGAGAGAAAGAGAGCUGUGGAUGAGAGAGAUGAGAGAGAGGUGUAUUUUGAUCGGGUUUUGUUUUGCGAUUUAUUCUAAAAUUUAGUUCGUGAUUCACUGUAAACACGUUCUCAAUUUUAUAACUGUAAAUGAAAAUAUGAAUUAUUUGUUUUACAGUUUAUUUUUGAAUUCAGCGUACCAAACGGGUAUUACAUUUAAACUCCAAAAACGAAAAUGAAAAUAAGCCCUUGAAAAUGAUACCAAACGGGCCCUAAAACACCAGACCUGGAUCCCGCGGAAAAAUUGCAAAUCAAAGCAAAUUUAAUUAGAAUGAGGGUAAAGUUCUGAAGUGAAAUUAUUGUGGACUCACCGUUGGAUUAAAUCGAGCGUCCACAAUAAUAAUAUUUUAUAAAAGACAAGAAAUUAUUAUGAAAGAAUAUAUAAACAUGAAUAAUUUGUAAAAUAAUCGUAUUAAUGAAUAAUGCGAUGCAUUAUUAUAUUUUUUUAUUUUUAUUUUUUAAGUAAUUAAUUAUAAAUUUUAGAGUAUAAACAUAAAUGAUUAAUUUAAUUAAACGAGUGUCGUAAACGAGUAAUUCUGACACAAAUAUAAAUUAGUUUAAUAAAUGAAUCAAUGAGUUCAAACUCAUACAUUUGACUUGUUUAUUAAACGAAUUGACACAUGUUCGAUUUACUUAUUAAUUAAAAUAUUUUUUCUAAACCCGAACUCAUGUAUUUCAUGUCUAAUUGAACUGAAUAAAUGAAUAUCGACUUAAAUCAUCGCCCCCAUUAUGGCAAGAGAUAAAGCUGCAUUCCGAACAUAAAUUUUGUCUAUGCUAGUGCUAGUAGGUAGUCGCAUGUUUUGAAACGUCUACAAAUGAGAUCUUAUUUUCACUUGUCGAUUACUCGUUCAUCGGCCCUCGUCUUUUAUGGUUAAUACCUUUGACCUUGAAAUUGGUUAGUUUUGAUGACCUCUAAUUUGUCUGCACACAACUAACUGGCUUGUUGAAUGAUUUUGAUUUUCACAAUAAUUGCACCAGCCAGUGAGAAAGCACGCGCUCUCUUGUCAAAACAUUCUCCACGCACUCUCUUGUUAUCUUCAACAUAGAUCAAGGAAAAUAAUUGUUGGUUUUAGAUUGAUGAACGUUCUAGAAUUUUUUUUUUUUUUAUAUAUUACAAUCAGAGUGUUAUUGAUAUUUACAAUAAAAAAUCAGUCAGAAUUCUCCCGAAUAAUUAUAUUACAGUACAGUUUGAAUAUUAACUCUUAUUUAAAACUAAAAAGAGAUCUUUACCCCACUAUUAAUAUUGAAAGGAGAUCGAUUCUAUCUUAAUGUGGAGAAUCCAUGCCCUCAAGGUUCUUUAAGGUAUGGGCGUGCCAAUGGACUACGAGCCCGUGGGCUACAAACGUUCUAGAAUUGAUUUUAUUAUUUGUGAGGGUUGUGUUAAACAUUGGUACUCUUUUUUUUUUUAAUUUUAUUUUUCACCUUUUUUACACUUCGUUUUGAUAUUUUGCGCUCUGUUUCGUUAUUAUUAAUUGUCAUGUCUGUUAAAUGGUUUAGGGUGCGUUUGGGAUUGAGGUGUUGUAUCUUUUAAACUACAGCGACUGUGAAAAAAAAGCUGUAAUUAUGAAAUAAAAGUUAAUAAUAUAUAAUAAAUAUAAAUUUUAAAUAAUGAUUUUAUCAAAAUUAUUAAAGAUAUAAUAAAUUUUAUAUUAUACAAGUGAAAAUUUAUAUCAACAUAGCUUAAAAGCUACAGCAGCUAGUGUUUACCAAACAUUUUAGUGCUGUAGCUUUUAAGCUACAGCUGCCCAACCUCAAUCCCAAACGCACCAUUAGCUGGUUAUAGAUUGUAAAUUUAACAAUAUUCCUUACACCUCAAGAAGAUUCUUUCUAAUCGAAGUGAAUAAACAAAAUGAAUAUUCCGAAUGAGCCGCAAACAAUUAACCCACGCAAUCCUUACACGCCAAGGAGGAGCAAAAUAUGAGCUCUUAAGACAUGGAAAUACAAACGUUGAGUCAUUAUAAAAUCUUCUGUAGUGAUAAGUAUACAAAAAUUAGUAUAAAAAAAUUACACACCACCAUUGAAAGAUUAAAAAAAUUUACUACAGGAUUAAAAAAUAAAAAUAAUAUAUAUAUAUAUAUAUAUAUAUAUAUAUAUAUAUUCACUACAAGAUAAUUUCUUUUUGUCAUAUAUACUUUAUGUGCUAUUUUUUAUGCUCAUUUCGGUGAAUACGGAUUGAGUUAACAUUCAGAUCUGUUAUUUUAAAAUAUGGAUUGAGUUAAAAGACAAUAUUAUUAAAAUUUCAUGCUUUUUUUUCUCUUUUAUUCAUAUAUAGCACAUUUUCUCAACAAGAGUCCUGAAUUUGAUAUUAUGUGCACUUUUAAUCUUAGCCUCUGACUGAAUCCAAGAGCUAGCAUUCAACAAUUUUACAAAUUACAUUAUUAUUAUUUUAGCUCUCCAAUUUCUUGCUUUUUUUUUUUUAAAUUUUUCAAAAGACAAAAUAGACAGAACUUUUUAUCCGCACCUUAUCCUAUUCUAAUAUCAAUUCUCAUAACAUUAUUAACACGCGGCGUGGUUUCUACUUCACGUUCAACUGUAAUGGCAUUUAUGAUGUAUAUUAUUUAGCAUGGACACAGUGUUUAUUUAUUUGUGGCACUUUGCUUUAUUAAAUAAAGACCACUUUUAGUUUUGGAUUAAAAUGAAUCCUGAUCACAUCGUAUUAUGGUCUUUAUUCUUCUCUCGAAUCUCAGUUCGCAUCCAAAAAACCUCCUUUGACCACAUGUAAGUUGUGCAUUAGAUUCAAUUAUAAGAGGCAACAAACAUACGAGUCUUUGAACGCCAAACUCAAAAUGCAAAGAGGCGAAGUCCCAAUAGUUAGUUUAUAAGCGGUUUUUUUUUUUUUUUUGGUUGUAAACCAUCCGGUGUCCCGUGACCGCAUUGAGUCUCGACGAAUCCAGAUUCGGGGUGUAGUCACAAUUAAGGCUUUUUACCCCUCCCAAAUAGUGUGUUUAGUGGGGAUCGAACCCGAGAGCUCUUCCCAUAAACUCAACCUGCACUGCCAACUGAGCCACAACCAUUUGGUUAUAAGCGGUUUUCAAAACAAUGUACCAUUUAUUUGGGUCAAAUAUUUGCUGUUGACUUUCUUGCUUUCCUUUCAUCACGAAUGCGUUCUUAUCUCUUCUAAUGCUUUUUCUUUUUCCAAAAACAAUUACCCUAUUAAUUUAAGAAAAUAAAUAUAAAUUAUUUACACUUUAAUUUAUUUAAAAUUAAUUUUAUUAGGGGAUAAUAUUGAAAUUUGAAAUCCGUACCCAUUGAUAAAGAAUACAAAUUCUUCAAUUUGAUGGAAAUAAAUCCAACCAAACAUUAAAAAGUAAAAAAGAAAUUAAAUUCUUUUCCUCUCCCCAGUCCUCUACUCCCAAACAAACAAUUCUUUCUUGACUUUCUUGCUUUCCUUAACUACUAGACUUCAGUCUUAAGUUAUCCCAAGUGGUAUAUAAAUUUUUUAUAAUCUUGUAUUUAUGCUUUAUGUAGCGAUGUAAUGUUGGUCAUUUUUACCCUUUAAAUAUAAUUUACUAAUUUUAAAAAAAGUCGUUUUUAUUCCACUAAAAUAAUUUUUUUUGUAAUAAAUAUUAAUUUUCUUGUAGCUGCAGAAAUUAUAUUGUUCCAUGAAUUUUUUUAAUUAGCUAUAGAUUGAACAGUCUUAGAUUCAUUGCUUUGAUUUUGUUAGACCUGCAAUUUGUCAUUUGCUUGCUGGGCGAUUUUGUAGAUAAAGCUAAUUAAUUCGCUAAGCACGCUAGCUGGCUGGUCAAAAGUUCUUGCUGCUCCGCCGUAUGACUUACCGUUUUUGCUAGCUUACUCUCAUGACAGGAAUUUAUGUCUACGAAUUUGACCAAUAUGAUCACAUUUACGUACGUACAUCGUCGUCAUCGUGAACUCAUCGACGUAAUUGGGAAAUUUUUUUUCCUUUAUUUUUUUCUAUAAAUUGCAACAGUACAUGCAAAGUUAUUUUUUGAUUUUAAACUCACAUUUGCUCCCAUCUUCUUCAAGCCCAAUGGCGACCAUAAAGAAAAUUUUCAGCCUGGUUUCUGUUCUCGUUCUAUGGCAGCUUCUCACUAAGCCAGCCUACUCUUCUCUCAGCGGUAACCUUUUAUUUUAUUUUAUUUUAUUUUUUGUUCUUCUUCUUCAUCUAAUUCAAUCUUUUGUUCUUCUGCUUCAUCCAGUUCAUUCUUUUGAGUGUUAAAAAAAAAAAAAAAGUGAUUUGUUGAUUGAUUUUGUCGUUAGGUUUUGGAGGCAGCGUCACAAGCAGCAACGGCGGUGAGCAUACGGGACAGGUGAUAGUAAUCCAGGACCAAAUAUGAUUUGUGAAUCCUACGCCAACCUCGAUACGCUACUUUUUUCUGCGUUUUCGUUUUGUUACAGUCGUUUUUUUUUUUUUUGUUUUGCGUAAAAUAUUUUUAGGUCCUAUUAACUAGAUUUAUUUAAAAUAUUAUUGCAAAUAUUUUGAUUAUUAGCGGUACUUUAAUGAUUAAUUAUUUUAUAUUGUUGUCACUGCGAAAAUUUUAAGAAACGCGUCGAUUUUUCUUUUUUGAUUAUAAAUAAAUUUUUAUUUUUAUUUUUUUUAACUUUGUUUUUAAUAAUCUGUGCGUUGGGUUCGUUUUUCGGAAUUAAUAGGAUAUUAAGAAAGGAAGCAUCUCCAGCCCCGGCUCAGGCUCAGGUUCAGAAGCUGUUUUUGCUUUUGGUUCGAGACCUGUUCCUUCAGGUCCCAACCCUUACCAGCACAACGCCAAUCCAACUGGAUCUCAAUUCUCAACCUUGACUGCUGUCCGCUGCCUGGCCCUAGACAGACUCUAGCUACCUGGCUAGCUACGUCUUGCUCAUUUGAAAAAAAAAAAAAAUUGAAUAAGAAGAAGCAGUUGUUGUGCUUUCAUUGUGUAACAAAAUUUUCUUUUACAAUCAAUGGCUCUGCCUUUGGCAGGCUUCAAUUUGGUAUGGAAUAAACUUUAAAAUUUGUGUUAUUGAAAAUAUAUGUAUACUCUUGUAUUAACAUAUUACCAGCCCGUCAAAAUAAGAAGCCAAAUUUCAAUCCUAAAACUGUUGAAAUGGGGUAGUAUAAAAGCCAAUUAAUCGCAUAUUCCUUUGGAUGCAUGCAAAAGGUCGUCCGAUUAUCGAUUCAAAUCAAAUUUGAAAAGCUCUAAAAUUAGACCCAAUUUUGUAGAGAAGGAAUCAAGCAAAAAUAAGAAAUUAAAAUAACAAUCAGCUUGUGUUUUAAAUUAAGACAAGGGUUCAUUUGGAACUGUUGUUGGGGAGCUAUAUAGUUUAAAAGCCACGUAUGUAUAGAGUUCGAUAAAUAAAUAUGUGAAGGGAGCUACAACUUUAAAAAGCCACAGAUCGAUGCAUAGUGUUUGACGAACACAUGCAACUCUGACUUUCUAAAGAUAGCACUUCCAUACCGAAUAACCUUUAAGAGAUUCAAUUAACAACAGCAACAGGGAGUUCAAACUAUACUUCGGGUUAUUAUCCUUUUAUAGUUCUAAGUAUACCAAAAUAAUAAAUGACUACAAAAAUGAUUAAAUUAACUAUGAAAUAAUUACUUUAAAUGCCACAAAUAAUUUUGGGCAGCUGACAAAUCUUUAAAUAAAAUCAAUCAAAAAGUGAGCUACAGUAAAGUCGUUUUUAGCCCAUGAAAUAGGCUACAAAAGCGAGCUAUAAUGGAGGAAUUAAUAAAAAAACGCUAAUGCAUGUAACAUAAAGUUUUUAAUUACGUACUGAAUUCCAAGCAAAUGACACAGCUUGAUUUAAGUGCCAUAAUAAGCAUGCCAUUAUGAUGCAAUUCAUCAGAUUUCAUAUUGGAUGGAGUUAAAGAAUCAGUCCUUAUAUCCGUCUCAUUUUCUUCUCUAACAUUGCUGCUUGUUUCAAUUUUAUUAUAAGAAAUUAUAUCGUUAACAACAGAAAUGACACUAUUCUGCAUGAACAGUGUAUCAAUUGGGCUUACUACUGGUACUACUUCCGUCGCCCCUAGUAGUCAAAUAUUAGUGCUGCAAUGGCUAUAGAUGAGGGCUGUUUUGGCAGCUGACGUUGAAGUCUUUAAACACAGAAGUUAUGAUGUUGUUCGAUUGAUGUUGUUAAUUAUAAAGCUACUUUGACGGGAAAGUUAUGUCGUCACGUUUGACCAAAAAUUGCCGGCACAUAUUGACAAAAGAUUAUCGGAGUCAACAAAGCCGCCUUCAACAAAGAAGAAUGCCAAAAGAAGCCAAAUAAAAUAAUAAAGCAAAAGAAAAUUGUGCCUCACAUAGUUACUCAAUGAUUAAAUGAUAUAAUAAUUAACCGGUAAAAAUUAAGAAAAAUAUAAAAAAAAUGAUAGAGUAUUAAAAUUAUAGUUUGAAUACUAAGAGUGGAUCCCUUAAUAUUAGCAUAAUUUUAAAUUGAUUCUUAGUAGUUUCUUUUCCCGCAAUUAAUUUUCUUUAUUUAACAAAUUGACUACUAAAUUUUAAAUUUCUUAUGGUUCGACCCCGAACUCAUUGGGUUAUAUUAUAACUAGACACUCUUAUACUUGAGAGUAACAACACUUUUGAGUCAUGUCAAUGGGUGGAUAUUUCGAUUCAAAUAACACUACAAUAAGACAAUUUUUUUUGGUGACAUUCAAAAAUUUGACCAGCAAACUCCAUAUAAGAUACUUAUUUUAUCCUUUUAAAAAUAAAAAAAGCUCCAAUCACGUAAGAUACUUAUUUUAUUGACCAUCAGUACUCCAUUAUGACUUUUCUAAGGAAGGAAAAUGAACACAGCCACAUGCAUGCUUCUUGAUUAAAUUAAUAAAAUAAAAUUAAAAAAGUUCCUAUAUAUUGGAAUGUAAGCAGCUGAGAAAUCUUUAAAUAAAAUCAAUCAAAAGUGAGCUACUAAUAUUGGGCUGUUGAUUUGGGUAAGAUUGGUAAAAUUUAUUCAGUACAGACCUUAUUAAAUCUUGUGAAGUCAUUUAUCUUUCGGUUAUUAGAAAUCUGUAGUGGAUGAUUAUUUACUUUUAUUUCUUUUAUUAUUGUUAGGCAUUUGUCUUUGCUAUAUACUAUAUUUGAGUUUUCAGUUAUCCUAACUGCUGUAUUUGAAUUUUAUAUGGCCUUAUAUUUAUGUUCUAUGGGGGUAAUAUAAUGUUGGUCAUUUUUUACCCUUCAAAUACAAUUUACUAAUUACAAAUAGAAAAAGAAAGUCUUUUUUAUUCCACUGAAAUAAGACUUCCACAAAUAGGCUGCAAAAAUGAGCUACUUAAUAUAAGUUUCUCUUGGCUUGUUUAUGGAGGGAUAAACAAAUGCUAAUGCGGGCGUAGCGGAAGCAGAAUUGAUAGGGUAGGAAACACUAGGUAUUGUUUUAGUACCGGACGACCAAGCCAAUGUGAUUAGCUUAUACUCUAAUUGAAAUGUGAUUAGAUCUCGUUCUAACGCAAACGACUCAAUGAGAUUUUUAAUAAUGUGUAAAGCGAGAUUAGAUGACGCUGUAAUCGAAACGACUCUACAAAAGAGAUUUUGAUAAAUAAUCCCAAUGGGAAUUACAAUAAUAAAAUCUCUCUAUUUAUAAUAGAGAAAACUUACUUUCUUAAGUUAACUUAAAAAGAGAAAUUAAAUCACAAUUAUAUUAGAAUAAAAGAUUAAGAAACAUACUAUAAUAGACUCUAAUUAAAAUAAUAAAAUCCUAUAAUUCUAAAAUAAUGUCCUACAUCAAUCUACUAUAAAGUUUUUAAUUAAUUAAUUGAGCUCCUAGCAAACGAUAAAGCUCCAAAUUUAAGCGCCAUAUGCAUGCCUCAACCUUCUCAAAUUAUGAUGCAAUUCAAUUGGUACGAAUCAAAGAGUCUUGCUCUCUAAAAUGUUUUAAGUCAGUCCUUGAUUAUUCUCGUUUCGUAUUCUCUAAAAAUUGGUGCUUGUUUCAAUUUUGUUGUAAGAAAUUAUAUCAUUCAAUAUCUUUGUCUUGUUACUUUCAUAAUAAUGAAUUAAAAAAAUACAGAUUUUUUUAAAUUGAGAAACGUAUCAGGUUCGACUUGCAGUCUUGCAUGUUCAUUAAUAUGUCUGUCGUUAUUUUAGAAAUGACACUAGGACUGCAACAGAAAUGACACCAUUGUGCAUGAACAGUGUAUCGUUUGGGCUUUACUACUAGUACUACUUCCGUCGCCCCCAGUAGUCAAAUAUUAGUGCUGCAAUGGCUGUAGAUGAGGGCUGUUUUGGCAGCUGACGAUGAAGUCUUUAAACACAGAAAUUAUGAUUUUGUUCGAUUGAUGUUGUUCAUUAUAAAGCUAAUUUGACGGGAAAGUUAUGUCGUCACGUUUGACCAAAAAUUGCCGGCACAGAUUGACAAAAGAUUAUCGGAGUCAACAAAGCCGCCUUCAACAAAGAAGAAUGCCAAAAGAAGCCAAAUAAAAUAAUAAAGCAAAAGAAAAUAAAGAAGCCAAAAGAAGAAUGCCGGCAUAAGAAUGAAAUACCCACCUCGGCCAGAGACAUUUUAUGUGGGAAUCCUUCUAUCUUAUAUGUAUGAAAGAUACAUUCUCUUUAUAUAAAUAGUAUAUAUAUGGGGUUUACAUAUUAUUCAUACGAAAGAAAUAUAUUUUACAUACAUGUAAAAUAAAAAUUGCCUUUAUGCGGUCGUAGUUGGCAGUUGACAUUUUAUAAAUAAGUGCUAAUAAGUAAAUGAAGCUGAAGGAUUUGCACCCACAGAGUUUGCUUUUGCAGUGAGUCUUCCAGAUGAGAGAGAAUUCGUGCAGCAGUUGCGUCUUUUUUAUUUGGAUUCUUUUAUUUUCGUUAUUGUUUUGAAAAAGGCCGAACUUAGAAUCUGAGUUGUAAAAAGGCCGCUCCGUACCAUUGAAAAAGAGCUUGGCUUAGAUAAAAUCAAAAUUUUGUUUUUAUUUAUUAAAUAUUUAUAUUUAUUUAAAGGUAGAGUUAUUGGUACUCUAAAAAUUACACUAAAUACUUAUUUAUAAAUUUUUAAAAGGUGGAACUAUUUGAAUUCACCAAUUUUUUCUCUACACUCUUUUUCAACUAAGAAUUUUAUUAAUUAAAAUUAUUUAUUUAGUUAACCAUUUCUUAUAUUUCUCAUUUCGAUUUCACAAAUUCUCAUCAAUUUGUUUAUAUAUAUAUAUAUUUUAGCUGUAAAUAAUUGAUAUCACAAAUUAAGAUGAACAAAAUCCACUAUUUUAAAUUAAACAUCAACAAAUUUUUAUCAAUUAUGAGAGUUAAUAAAUAUUGAGAAAUUAAUUUUCACUAAGGACAAAAGUUAAUGAAUAUAAAAAAAAAAUUCUUAUAUAUAGAAAGAGUGAUGUAGAGAUCAUAAUCUAAUAAGAAAGACCAAAAAAAUAAAUUUAAAAGAGGGUGAAAUUGAGCGUUUAGUUUGCUUAAUGUGAAAAUAGAGAGAGAAUAUGCAAUCCUAAGCUAAAGAGAAAGAAAUUACUAAAUGAUAAUUUUGAGAUUUUUAAAUUUUAAUUUUUUAUGGUGAAUUCAUUUUUUAAAAUGGGUGUAAAGAGAAAUUGGGUGGGUUCAGAUAGCCCACUCACUCAUUUAAAAAGAUUAAUUUUUGGGUAAGGCUAUUUGAACCCACAAUAGUAUUCUUGACACCCAUGUUUUUGUAAUUUUUUUUAUUACUUUAAUAGCCUUAAGUGAAAUUACUCAAAAGUUAAAGGGACAAAAUAGAUUAAAAUAGCAUAUACACCCAACCUAUCACGAUUCAUAAAUCUGCCUAUUUUCUUUUCAUAAAUUUUUAUUCAAAGUAAGAGAGAAAGUUUCAUAAUAUUAAACUUGCUAAUUAAUUAUGUAUUCAAGUGUAAUCUCUGCGUUUCUGGUAACUAGUUACUGAUAAUCAGUGUCCCUAAUUGUGCAUUUGGUGUAAAGAUACAGGUGCGGGAGGAAAGGCUACACAAAUACAGUUCUUUGAUCUUUUCAUGCUUUUAAAGUUACAAAAUUUAUAUAUGAGUUGAUAAAUAAUGAAUUUUCUCUUUUUUAAUAUUUACAUCACAUCACUGUCGUUUCCUGUUCAAAUCUUACUAUUGUGCAGCUCGACAUGAAUUUUCUUUUUCCUUCCUUUUUUUUUUUCUCUUUAAUCAAAUGAUGGCAGGCAACUCAAAAGUUCUGUUGAAUUUCCAUAUGAUUUGAAAGAGUUUUAUGGCCAUUUCCACUUCUAACUUUUCAUAAACAGCAAUUUGUCUUGAUGGAAAAGGGGAAAAAAAAUUCUUCAUGUGUGGGUUUGAGAAGAAAGAAGAAAAAUGAAUAAAGGAGUAAAUUGGAAUUAAAUUUAAAAUUUAAUGGGUCUUAAAAGUAAAAAUGUGAUUUUUAAAAUUUCACAAUGAGUGUAUUGAGAAAUUGGGUGGAGAGAGUAUUUUUGUGGGUUUAAAUAGCCCCACCCUUAAUUUUUACUUAGUACACUUUGUUAAAUGUCAAAAAAGUCCUUACUUAAACCUUUCAUUAUCUUUUAUUUACAGUGCACACCUAUUUAAAUAUUCAAUUCACCAAAAGGGGGAGAAAAAGAAGACAUCUUCAAUUCCUUCUGUAGAAAAAUUUUCAAGUACUUAUUCAAGUACAUCAAAUUCGUUUUUUUAAAAAAAAAAAAAAAAACUCAUUUUCUUAAACAAACAAAGAAGAAAUAACUAAAUUAAUUCCAAACUUAUGAUUUAUCUAAACCGACUCAGCUUCAAUCUUAAAAAAUUAGCCGUGAAAUCAACCGGCAAGUUGAGUAAAAACUUUACGAGGAAGUGCCAGAAAUAUUAUACUAAAAAUAGAAGCAUAGAUGCAUGAGAUGAAACUAAAUUUAGGAAGAAAUCAACGAAGUUAACGAACCAUCACCAAAUUUUGCCAACUUAACAGCAGUUUGCUAGAUCUUACGAAGCUGAAAAGCGAUUGGAGCAAUUAACUGUUUAUUUACUGAAAAAUCAAAAGGGUACGUAAUAGCUUCUUUGUAAAUAGUUGUAGAAAUUUUAAGUUUUAAGGAAGAAGAAUUGUUUAUAUGUUGAAAGAUUUUACUAAUAACAUGGGUAUCUAAAGUAAUUAUGUUUUAUUUACUCAUAAUAGAUUGUCCCUUCUAGUAGAUCACAUCAUAGGUAAUUUUUAAUAAAUUAUUUCAUUAAAAUAAGAGAGCUCGAUUAAUUUUUAAAUUGUAAAUAGCCCUACCCUUUAUUCAAUUAAGUAAGAAAUAUAUACAAACACAAUUUAAACUAAAAAAAAAAAAAAAACUCUUUAUUUGGUUACAUUUAUAUUUCUAAUCGAACAAAGUAGGAAAAUAAAACAGAAAAAGACCUCAUAUGUUGGGUUAUUUCUUUUUAAACAUUUAACAUUUAUAUUGACUUAAUUAACCGAUCAUGUUCUGUUUAUUCUCAAAAUUUAUAUAGUUAGUCAUGGAUAAAAAUCCGGUUGCAAUUGCAAAUUAAGUUGAAGGCAUUUCAUCCCUAAUUACUGCAGCGUGUCCACCAUCCAGGACAUUUGUCUCCAAGUGUAAUAAAUUAAUUUUUCUUCUCAUUUUGAAUGGGGUUAGUUAUCUUUGGGUGACACAUAUUUUGACAAAUUUAAAAAAGAUGACACAUGUUUUAAAAAUAUUUGAGUCAACGUUAACUUUAAUGUGAACAGUAAAUUAAUUAUAAAAUAAUAUUUUUGCUCUAUAAUUAAUUAUAAAAUGAUGUCUAUGUCCGUAUAAUAGAUACAAAAUAACAUUUCUAUCCCCAUAAUUAGUUAUAAAAUAUGUUUUUCUCCCUACUCAAUUAUUUUUAUUUUUUAAAUAAAAAAUUAUAAAAAAUUUCAUCUAAGUGUAAUUAGCGGACUUUUUUUGGUUAAAUCAAAUAAAUCUUUUUAAAAAGUUUCUUGUUGAAUCAAACUUUGCCGUAUUUAAUAAGAAAAUUUUGUUUGAUUCAACAAGAAUUUUUUUUAAAAAAAAGAUUGUCUGAUUUAACGAAAAAAGCCCGUUGAUACACUUAGAUGUAAUUUUUUUUUAAUUUUUCUACUUAAAAGAUAAAAAAUAAUUGAGGUGGAGUAAAAACAUAUUUUGUAACUAAUUGUAGGGCUAGAAAUGUCAUUUUGUAGCUACUAUAGGGGCAUAAAUCUCAUUUUAUAAUUAAUUCGAGGGGCAAAAAUAUCAUUUUAUAAUUAAUUUACUGUUCACAUUAAAGUUAACGGUUUGUCGCCGCUCGAGUAUUUUAAAAACACGUGUUACCUUUUUAAAAAUUUUCAAAACAUCACCUAGAGGUAAUUAACCCUUUUAAAAUUUUAAGUUGCGCUUAUUUUUUUAAUUUUCGAUCUGAAUAGGUCUGAAAUUGAUUGAAGUAUGAUUGGAUGUGAGUAAAAAUUUUGUAAUUAUAUUUUUUUAAUAUCUGAAUAUAUAUAAAAUACAUCUUAUUUAUUUUUAUAAAUAAAAGUAUCUAAAACAUAGUUAUUUGAUAUUUAGGUUUUAUAAAUAAAAGUAAAUUUAUAUUCUCAUAAGUCAAAAUGUAUAAAGAGAUUAGGUUUUAUAGUUAAGAAAAUAAAUAUAUUUAGGAUAUAAUAUUUACUUCUCAUUCAAAUGUUUACCUAUCUAGAUAAAAGUCACAAAAAUUUAUUUUUUUAUUCAAAUGUAAAUGUCUGAAAAUUAAUUAUAAGAUAUAAAAACACAAACAAACAAACUUUUUUAAAAUUUGAAAUUGGUAAAAUUUCGGACUUCACUCGUUUAACAAAUAAGUCUCACUUAUGUUGUGAGCGACGUUACUUUCAAAUUAACUUCUUUGUUUAACACAUGGCAUCACAUGUGGGCAAGUGGCAAGCUCUCUUUCAUCAUGCAUACCAUAUCUGAGGGCUGGUGGCUCUGUGCCACCGGCUUGCAGUGGAGUCAAGAGUCUUAAUGCGGCGGCCAACACAACACCCAACCGCCAGGCGACGCGCAGGUGCUUGAAAUCUGCGCCCGGCAGCAUCCUCGGUGUCAACUACGCCCUUGCGGCUGGCCUCCCUAGCAAGUAGCAAGCGCGGUGUCAAAGUUCCUUACCCGAUUAGCCCAAACUCCGACUGUGCCAAGUAAUUACUAGUUCUCUAAUUAUAUCACAUAUAUAUACAUAUAACAUGUAUAAGAACAUAACUGAUAUUACAUUGUGUAUGAUUCGUUAAUUAUUUUAUUAUUUAAAAAGUGGAUUAUUAAUUUACGAUUUGUUGUCGUAUUGUAGGGUGAAUUGAGAUUCUUGGAGGAGUUAUAAUCUGCAUCAAGAUACACUAUAUAAAAUGGGAGUUACUGUUUACUUGUUAGGGACUCUCCUUGAUUAAGAAAUUAAUAAGUGAUGGUAUUUGUUAUCGUAUUAGAACUUCAUCAGAUUGAAAAUUCCACCAUUAAAAACAGGAAAUUAAUUGUGAAUUCAUAGAUUAAGUAUAUUCCAUUAGAUUGCAUUCUCUAAUUAAAAAUAAGAAAUGUAUAUGAAAGUUCUUAUCUUGUCACUUCCUUAACCAAUUAGACUACCGAUGCAUCUUCUAAUUAUAAAGUAUGAAAUAUAUGUAAAAUUUACCUUUUAACAACCUUAAACAACUAGACUACGGUGAGUGUUCGUUAAUUAGAUAGUUUUGUUGUUCGAUUUUGCAAUCCAAAAUACAUAUCUAAUUAGUUAAGAGAAUCCAAGAUUUUACUUACUAGCUAAACAUUUUAUCACAAGUGAAUUGAGAUAUUACAACACAUCCAUAAUUUAGCAUAAAAAUUUCAAAUAAUGACCUUAUUAACACUAGAAAGUGUACAUUUAAUAAAGAUUAAAAUUAUUUUUUUUCACUUAUAGUGUUAAUAACACUAACAAUUUCACAUUUACAAAUUCUAACCUAUUUUAUAAAUCAUCUAUUUUUUUUUUAGUAUGAUUUUUGUGUUUUAUAGGUAAAUUCCUAAAUUCAUGAUACUUGAAUCAGAAAAACUAAAUACCCUUUUUAGUUAGAGUAAUCAACCACUUUUAAUUCGUCAUGAAGCAAACACAUUCUAAGAUAUGAUGAAGUUUCAAAAUAUUAAUUUAGAUGACUUCAUUCUCCAGAAAUCGAGUAUAUCCAAAGGUACCCGCAUCAUUCAUUUCAGAAGCCAUAUACAUUCAUUUAUAAGCAAAUUUAUUAAGUUAAAAAAUUGACAAAUGGACAAUGUAGUUAUUUUAAAAUAAAAUUGACGUAUUAUAUUCUCAUGGGGUAAUUGUAUUACAUUGGGUGUAUUCAAUAUUUUCUCCUUCAUCCCAUCAUCCCUCAUAAGAAAAAUGUAUUAAAUUAGCUAAACUUCUUAAAUUAUCUCCAAACAGAGCACGAGCAAAGUGUUGAGGACCGAAUAUUUCAUUAUCUACUCUUUCUAGACUUUAACCUCUAAAAUUUUAUCUCUAUGAUUGUUGAUUCCCUAAAUUUUAAAUUCUGGCAUCGUUUCUGUGCACAGUGAAAUCAAGAGCGUUCAUUUCAUUAAUAGCACUGGCCAGAGGUCGGAAUCACGCUCGUUUGUAUUAUAACCGAUGGAUGUAGCUUAUAAGUAACUAUAUUAUGAUUUCCCGACUUUUUCUAUGCGAGAACCAAUUAGUAUGCUUGUGUAGCAAAAAUGAUUAUUGUGCAAAGAAAUUAAUUAACUGACAAAAGAUUCUCUUGGUUUAAUUUAAUUACCAUUGCAAAUAUUUUAAUGCAUAGCUAAAUAAUGUAAAAUAUUAAGGAAUAAAUUUGAUAGACUUAUUUACUAUGUGAUAAAAUAUGAUGUUAAUGAGCUUAAUUUUAAAUACACUUUCUAUGUAGUAGGUAGUAUAUUAUGGAUAAGUAUAACUUUAUAAUGUAUUAUUGCGGCUUACAAUGGGAUGAAUAAUUUUAUAACUAAUAGACGAGGACCUUCACAUUAGUAUAUACGUGACUUUAGCACAUUGGAAUUCACUUUUUGUCAUUGUCUAUUCUCGGUUAAGAGUGUGUGUGGCUCUCAUCAUCUCUCUCCCUCUCAUUUGCUUUUGCUUUUGUGUGUAUGAUGAUGAAACUGUAAUUUGUAGUUGAUUUGGAAUAAAAUAGGCUUUUGAUUCAGCAACAUUUCAAGUGAUCCUCCCUCUCAAGACGUGUUUGAUUGUGAAUACAAAGAUCAUGGGACUAUCCUUUUAAAAAAUAAUUUAGCGAUAUAUGGUGAAAAUAAUUUAGCAGUUCGUUAUUGUUUAAAAUCUAAGUUAAUCUUGCUAAUGGUUCUAAUAAUUAUUUUAUGAAUUAUACAGACAUAAGUCAACUUCUAUAGAGAAUUUGGCAUGCAUUUUAUUGAAAUACAUAAUAAACUUAUAACGAUAUAAACUUGUAUAUAAUUAAUUUAUUAUUUUUAAUUCUUACGACGUUAUAAAAUAACUUUUGUCGUAGUUUAAUAAUGUACAGAAUUCUCUUGUUGAAAAUUUUUUAUAACAAACAUAGGUCUUAUUAAAUUACAAUUAAUAUAACUUACUAACACUUAUAACAUGACAAUGAAUUCCAUUGACAUAUCACAAAUUUUUACAUGUUUAUAAGAACUGUAUAUUACAUUAAUUAUAACUUAAUAAAAUCGAACAAAGCAUAUACGAAUCAUUUUUUUACCAUAACUAAUAACUACGGGUUGGUCAGGUGGUCCUUUACAUGACAAAAAUUAAUGUCACCGACCCGGAAGUAUGUACGGCCAUCGAUCAUUUAAUGUUUCUACUUAACAUGUGUCGGUCGUAUAUGAAUGAUUGGAAUGAUGAUGCAAUCGUCAAAUAAAUACGUGGGACUCAUAAAUUGGGAGAGUGUGUUAAGACUCGAGGUACACGUUACAUAUUACUUAGAGUUAUGUUAUUUGAACGAAAUGAAGACAAAGGGACGACCGAAAAAAUUGCCACGUGAAUCAACUGGGAUUAAUGGAAAUCAAAAAGUGGCACGUGAAUCAAGCAGCUUUUGUCCCUUUGUCUAUUACUUUUUGAAUUUAAAAAAUAAAAUAAUAAAAAAAAAGAAAGAAAAGUAACGAAAAAAAAGGAAAGAGGGAUUACUUUUUGAGUUUCGUAGUCUCUUUCUAUUUCUCUCAUUUACGUGAGUUUUCUGUGUUCAGGAAGGCAAAAUUCAAAUGAGUUCCAUCUCUGCAUCUCACAAAUUCCGUCUCUGCAUCUCACAAAUUCUGUCUCUACAUCUCAAUGGAGGGAGAGUAAAAUGAGUGGUUAGGGAGUGUGUGUAAAAGGGGGAGUAAAACGAAGCAAACUCAUUUUUUUUAUUUCUUGUGGGUUCAUGCAAUUUUAAAAGAAGCAGAAAAACACGGGUUGAAAUGAGUGAAACCAGGGGCGGAUGUAGCGUAGGACUAGUGGGGGCUUGAGCCCCCACUGAAAAAGAAAAAAAAUUUCUUUUUGUUUAAAAGAAAAAUUAAUAAAUUUUUAAAUAUUCUCUAUCAAAUUAUCAAAAAGUCCCGUUCUUUCAGUUUCUAUAACCACAAUAGAGAGAACAUUUUCAGCAAUGAAAUUUGUGAAAAAUGAACUUCGGAAUCGGAUGAGAGAUGAAUGGAUGAAUAAUAAUUUAAUUGUUUAUGUAGAAAAAUAUAUAUUUAAUAAUGUUGAUAAUAAGUCUAUUGCACAACGUUUUCAAAAUAUGAAAUCACAUAGAGAACAAUUGUAAAUGUGUUAUCAAAAAUUUUAUAUAUUCAAAUUUCAAUUUUUACAUUUUGUUGUUAUUUAAUUUCGCCCCCGGUAAAUUAUUUUUCUAGAUCCACUACUGAGUGAAACGGCAAUUCAAAUUUGUGUUUUUGUCGUCCCUUUAUCUUCAUUGAGUUCGUUUAUCAUUUUCCUAUUACUUUACAUAGUCGUACACUUGUACCCUCUAGCCUCAUAAAUUAAUUUAAUUUACGACAGCAUUGUUAAAAUUGCACAACCAUAACCGUAUUUGAAAAUGAAAGCAUUAAAUCAAACUCAACUCCCAACUAAGUUAACCACACACUUCGUAUUCCUAAUCGUAUAUAAAUACGAGGCCCGAGCUACCAUAAUCCUCACACAACAUACAACGAUCUGAAGAAAAGUUCCAAGUUAAGCAACAUUCUCAUUUCUCAGAGCUAAUUAAGAACAUUAUACAUGGCUCUUAAGCUUGCUUGUGCUGUGCUGCUAAUGUGCAUGGUGAUGGGUGCGCCCAUUGCCCAAGCUGCCGUCACAUGUGGCCAAGUGACAAGCUCUCUUCAAGCGUGCAUACCAUAUGUGACGGGCCCCCGUGGAGGCGCUGUGCCGCCAGCCUGCUGCAGCGGGAUUAAGAGUCUUAACUCCGCAGCCACCACCACACCCGACCGCCAGAGCGUUUGCAACUGCCUGAAAACCGCUGCUGGCUCCAUCAAAAACCUCAACCUCAACCUCGCUUCUCGCCUCCCACGCCAGUGUGGCGUCAACAUUCCUUACCAAAUCAGCCCAUCCGUUGACUGCAGCAGGUAAUUAUAUAUUCACCCUUAAAUCAUAUUUUAUUGUAUAUAUUGUACGUGCAUGACUCAUUAAUUUCUCCUUCACAAAAUUGUUUAAUGAUUUUUUUUUUUUUUGGUUGUGUUGC